rnacentral:lncRNA from 1 species
GAAGAAUUCCACUUACACAAGAAACAUAUUUCCACACUCUCUUCAUAGAGGAGUCAGCAUGAGGAUGGAUCCUAACCCCAGGGCUGAUCCCAGUACGCGCUGUUUCCUUUGGCUGUGAUUUUUAUUCUCUCCCGACUGGCAGUGAGGUCAGGGGUCAUAAUGACCCUCUGUUCAUAUCUCAGAAAGUGUUGACAGCUGACACCUCUGCUGGGAAAGGAAAAUGAACUGGCAAAAGGACCGUUAUCAUUUUGACAGAUGCCCAUUAUUGGGGGCUAUGCCAACUGGCAAAUUCCUAAUAAUAGGAAACAAAUAGGUAUUUUGACUUCUUGACCCUGCUCUGUGACUGGCUUAUAGGAAGGAACCCUUCAGAGUAAAUGCACUUGAAUUUAAACAUCAG